GUUUUUUUAGAAAUAAAUUUAAUUUACAAGUUUUUGAUUUUUUGAUUAUUUAUUUAAUUUAAAAAUUUAUUUACUUGAAUAUUUUAAGGGAUAAGCUUUAAGAUAAAUUAUUAAAAAUUAAUAGUGGUAAUAUAAAAUGUAUGCUUAGAAUUAGCAAUCAUUAUAAAGUUUGUUAUAAAUUAUUUUAUGAAUUAUAUUAUUUAUUAUAUUUUAAUUUAUUUAUAAAAAUUUUUUUAUUAAUUAAGUAUAAAAAGUAAUAAUGAUAGAAUUAGUAUAUUUUUUUGUUUAUGUAAUUUUAUAUGUUAAGUUUGUAUAAAGAACUCGGCAAAAAUUUUACCCGCCUGUUUAACAAAAACAUGUCUUUUUGAGUUAUUUUUAAAGUCUGACCUGCCCACUGAAAUUAUUUAAAUGGCCGCAGUAUUCUAACUGUGCAAAGGUAGCAUAAUCAUUAGUCUUUUAAUUGA
rnacentral:rRNA from 1 species